rnacentral:rRNA from 1 species
CUAAGCGUACACGGUGGAUGCCCUGGCAGUCAGAGGCGAUGAAGGGCGUGCUAAUCUGCGAUAAGCGCCGGUAAGGUGAUAUGAACCGUUAUAACCGGCGAUACCCGAAUGGGGAAACCCAGUGUGAUUCGUCACACUAUCAUUAACUGAAUCCAUAGGUUAAUGAGGCGAACCGGGGGAACUGAAACAUCUAAGUACCCCGAGGAAAAGAAAUCAACCGAGAUUCCCCCAGUAGCGGCGAGCGAACGGGGAGAA